AACUUCCGAGGAGGAUAGCAAUGUUAAAUCUCCUCAGGGGUUGCAGUUUUUUAAUAUCUGGCUUAUUAUUGUAAGGUGGUUGAAAAUGAAUAUGUACAUAUAGGUACAUUGUAGGAGGAUUUUUUUCAUGCAAAACGGUAAAGUAAAAUGGUUUAACUCAGAAAAAGGUUUCGGUUUCAUCGAAGUUGAAGGCGGAGAAGACGUAUUCGUUCAUUUCUCAGCUAUCCAAGGCGAAGGCUUCAAAACUUUAGAAGAAGGUCAAGAAGUUACUUUCGAAGUAGAACAAGGUAACCGUGGACCUCAAGCUACUAACGUAAACAAGAAGUAAUUUUUGAAAAAAGAAGGGCGAGCCCUUCUUUUUUUU
rnacentral:sRNA from 1 species